UUUUAGAACGGAUACUGAAUAACACAAGCUCAAAUCUUGGUUACUUCGUGUCACAUGAAACACACCAUUCAGUGAGGGUGUGAGUGAGUGAGUGAGUGA